UACGAGGGGGGCAAGCGUUGUUCGGAAUUAUUGGGCGUAAAGGGUGCGUAGGCGGUUCAGCAAGUCUCGUGUGAAAUCUUCGGGCUCAACCCGAAGUCUGCACGGGAAACUACUGGGCUUGAGUAUGGGAGAGGUGAGUGGAAUUUCCGGUGUAGCGGUGAAAUGCGUAGAUAUCGGAAGGAACACCUGUGGCGAAAGCGGCUCACUGGACCAUAACUGACGCUGAUGCACGAAAGCUAGGGGAGCAAACAGG
rnacentral:rRNA from 2 species